AAAGGAAUUAUAAAAACCCAUAUGAAUCAGAUAAAGAAGUGUCCCAGCUUGCUUGGGGUAGUUAUAAUAAACUUCUGGUCUUGGUGUAAUUACUGACAUCACUCUUUCAUUUCAAGAAUGUACGCCUUCUGUCUGAGGCUACUUGUGUUUGCCACUAUUCUCAUCUUCUUGUGGCUGCAACCAAUAGUCAACAAGAAGCAACUUAAGGGAAGAAGGGGUCAUUCUGGCUGAAAACUAAAGAUGCAGCUUAUCAUGGUAUGACAGGCAUGAUGGCAGGCAUGUGAAGUGACCAGUUACACUGGAUCCACAGUUAGGAGGUGAAGGGCAGACAAGAAGUGGUAGUGAGGUAAGCAGGGACCCACUCCUUCUAUAUAUGAGUGCAUAUAUGUUCACUCAGUCUCUCUCUCUAUCCUCCCUGUCCCCCCCCCCCCAUCAAAACUAUAAAGGUCCAAAGUCUUUUCUGACACUCAGUGCAAUCUUGUGAUUGCAUUUUACAGGGACUCCUGUAAAAAAUUUUUUUAAAUCAUUAGAAGUUACACACUUCUAAUAUACAAUGGCACAGAGUAAAGAUUUCCAUUCCAAAAAGAGGCAAUGGAAACAUACGAAAGAAAAAUUAGAACAAAGCAAGACUUCAACUCAACCCUCCAGACCACAAGACUCUGCAGCUACUUAUCCAGCAUCUGGGACUCAUGACUCUCAUCUGGGCUCCAAAGGUCUUGGUUUGCCCUGCUCCCCCAGCUCUUCUACCCACAGCACACAAAGCUUAUCUCUUGGGCCAGCUCCAUUCCCACCUGCUGUUCACGUUGGAAGAUGGUCUACUGUCCUGAAAUCAGCACCACUGUAGAAUCUCCACUGUACCUUAGACUUCAUCUUCAGAACGUCACAAAAACAUCUUUUCAGGGCCUGGCCUCAGUGAUCUUUUGAAGCCUUGUCUCAAGACUCCAU
rnacentral:lncRNA from 1 species